rnacentral:rRNA from 1 species
UGAGGGGGGCUGCUCCUAGUACGAGAGGACCGGAGUGGACGCAUCACUGGUAUUCGGGUUGUCAUGCCAAUGGCACUGCCCGGUAGCUAAAUGCGGAAGAGAUAAGUGCUGAAAGCAUCUAAGCACGAAACUUGCCCCGAGAUGAGUUCUCCCUGACUCCUUGAGAGUCCUGAAGGAACGUUGAAGACGACGACGUUGAUAGGCCGGGUGUGUAAGCGCAGCGAUGCGUUGAGCUAACCGGUACUAAUGAACCGUGAGGCUUAACCUU